rnacentral:lncRNA from 14 species
AUGCAGAACGCUGCGGCGAGAAACGCAGUCGUAAACCAAAACUCCUUCCCCACUGACCCCCAGGCGUGGCACCAGCGGCAGGUCACCGCUCUUGCGGGAGCCAGCGACACCGCGCCAGAGCAGGAGCGGAAGGCGGCGCCGGCCGCGGGCAACGGCGCAGUGCGAGCAGAAGGAAGAAAUAAUCUUAUGGAAGAGAACAGAAUGAAAUGGCUGCAGAUGAACCUGACCCAGUAUUUACUUGUGUGUCUAACAGAAAAAAACGUAUAUAUUUUCAUGGAUCUCAGAAGCUUGCAAAUUUCUCUCCGAAGUAUGAAAGAAGAUUCUUUGAUUUGUUGCAUUCUGCAGCAUAUUUUGGUUUGGAUACUGGAACUGGAUGCAAAUGGACUCAGCAAGCCAAAUAAAAGAUGCAGGGAUGCAGGAAUCUUCUGUUUUAGAGAAGAGUGUCCCAUCACUCCUGCUCCUUCUUACACUUACGCCUACAGGUUGCCAUUUCUGAGGUUUCAUUCCAAGAUGAAAUGUGCAUUCUGAAAUGCCCUACUAGUUUCUUGAGAGAUUAAACUGCUUGGUGAUCAAUAAGUGCACUUGCUGUUCAAGGAAAAGACUGACAUGAACCCUGCAGAAAUUCUCAGCAACAGGUCAUGAACAAUUCUAAGAAGUACAUAAAGUAAACUGCAACUAAAGAAAGAAGCAUUGGGAUUUAGCUGAGAUUUCGCCCGUUAAGAGAUGUGGCAGUAUACACUUUGCUUAUGCCAUCUGCACAAGUGAGGAACUCACUCCAGCACUUCAGGCACUGCUAUAUUAAAUAUUGAUGGGUAUUCACUGUAUAGUAGAUUUUCCCUUCCAAGGAACUGAUAAAUAGUUAAUGAAGAGUCCAUCCCGAAUGGGUAAUUCUUUCAGUAACAACAGUUUGUUUGCCCCUUGAGGUUUCAUUUUUUCUCUCUCGUAAAACAAAAUAUAAUUUAACUUAGGUUUAUUAUUUUGUAACCUAAAUAAAAAUACCUAUAUGUAUUGAUUGCUGGGUUCU